GUCCGGUUGGUUUGCCGGGGCCCAGAGGGACAGAUGGGUAUCCGGGAUCCGAUGGGCUUCCUGGUCUUCCUGGUUUACCGGGUCUGCCUGGAUCCAAAGGCCGAACAGGUCAGCGCGGUGACGUUGGUCUGGAGGGGAGGGCGGGGCUUCCUGGCCCACGGGGCGAGCUCGGACUUCCUGGUGUCAUCGGAGAGGAAGGGCCAGCGGGAUCAAAGGGUGAGAUGGGUUUGGCAGGCGACACAGGACCGGCGGGUGCUAAAGGCAUGGAGGGGGCGACGGGAGACCAGGGCAUGAAAGGAGAGCAAGGUGCCAAAGGAGAACCAGGUGAGGUGGGAGACACAGGCAUGCUGGGACUCCAGGGCUUUCCGGGACCCAAGGUCAGUGUUCAGCAUGAAACCGCAUUAAACCAGAGCGGUGGAGAUGUGUUCAGACGGCUCACGAGAGAUCACAAGAGUCACUCAAACACACAACAGUUCAAACCCCGCACGCAACACAUCACAUUGUUCAUUAAUCAAGA
rnacentral:lncRNA from 1 species